rnacentral:snRNA from 1 species
CGCACCACGAGGCGCUGU